rnacentral:rRNA from 1 species
UACGUAGGGAGCGAGCGUUAUCCGGAUUUAUUGGGUGUAAAGGGUGCGUAGGCGGUAAUACAGGUCUGUGGUAUAAGCCCGAAGCUUAACUUCGGUUCGCCACAGAAACCGUAUAACUAGAGUAUGGUAGAGGCAAGUGGAAUUUCUAGUGUAGCGGUAAAAUGCGUAGAUAUUAGAAGGAACACCAGUGGCGAAGGCGACUUGCUGGGCCAAAACUGACGCUGAGGCACGAAAGCGUGGGGAGCGAAUAGG